GACGAACGCUGGCGGCGUGCCUAAUACAUGCAAGUGGAACGCACUGAUGAAUCCGUAGCUUGCUACAAUUUCAUCAGUGAGUCGCGAACGGGUGAGUAACGCGUAGGUAACCUGCCUGGUAGCGGGGAAUAACUAUUGGAAACGAUAGCUAAUACCGCAUAAGACAUUUUACUGCAUGGUAAGAUGUUAAAAGAUGCAACUGCAUCACUACCAGAUGGACCUGCGUUGUAUUAGCUAGUUGGUGAGGUAACGGCUCACCAAGGCCACGAUACAUAGCCGACCUGAGAGGGUGAUCGGCCACACUGGGACUGAGACACGGCCCAGACUCCUACGGGAGGCAGCAGUAGGGAAUCUUCGGCAAUGGGGGGAAACCUGACCGAGCAACGCCGCGUGAGUGAAGAAGGUUUUCGGAUCGUAAAGCUCUGUUGUAAGAGAAGAAAGCGUGUGAGAGUGGAAAGUUCACACAGUGACGGUAUCUUACCAGAAAGGGAC
rnacentral:rRNA from 1 species